rnacentral:rRNA from 1 species
UACAGAGGUCUCAAGCGUUGUUCGGAUUCAUUGGGCGUAAAGGGUGCGUAGGCGGCGCGGUAAGUCGGGUGUGAAAUGCCGGGGCUCAACCCCGGGACUGCGUCCGAUACUCCCGAGCUGGAGGCAGGUAGGGGAGAUCGGAAUUCCUGGUGUAGCGGUGAAAUGCGCAGAUAUCUGGAAGAACACCCGUGGCGAAGGCGGCUGACUCUCGGGACGGUACUGGACGCU